rnacentral:misc_RNA from 1 species
UGUUGAUGCGGUUGAAUCCAUUGCAAAAUCUAUUUCUGGAAAGCCACAAAUACUGGCUUUCAAUGAUUGCUCAAAUUCUUCAUCCAAUUUUCUUAUGAAGAAGAGUGUUGGAGAAUCAAUCUGUAGAAUACCGCUUGAUGAUCCAGUAAAUGAUCAUAACAUGGCUUGAGAUAUUUGUGCUUCUAAGUUGUCAAUGACAAACGCGACAUGCUGUCCUUGCAGUUGAUUUGCCUUAUCAUCGUUACAGAUCCUCUGGCGUCAUUCAACUUAAUAGAAGAAAGUUCUGUAAUUGUAAACUUCUUCCAUAUCACCGGUGCAGCUACGUGCUGCUACUUUUCACAUUGUCUGCAAA